AAUACAUAAACAAAAAUUCGAUUUAAGUCCACAAUUCCCCACAACAAUUAAUAUUUGAUAAGAGAUUAUAAUAAAGGCGACAAGAAUAUUUAUGUUAAAGCUCGAAAACCUGUUACUGUUGUGGACAACAGCGAGUAUAAAAUUCAAUUUCAGAUCUUAUCUUGCAGUGUUGCUACGGAAAUCAACCUUCCUGACUCUGACGACGGAUCUAACGCAUCCAAGGAAACAACGUUGAAUAGGCCAGCUUACCGGCAUAACGAUCUUAAUGUCAAAGACAAUACUCUAGGAAACCCAGAGUUAAAAGCUUGCCGCAUCAAAAAAAUUGAAAUCAGAACAUCAGUUGACGGACUCAAAGACGACAGACCAUACAAAGAAUCAUUGAAAGUUUUUAUCACUCGAUCACGGGAGUUGACCUCAAAACGGAGUUAAAAAAGUUGGGACAUGAAGCAGUUAAUAUCCACCGCUCCAUAUAGCGUACCACCAAAGAGCCCAUGAAUCUGUUAUUUGUGAACCUCUCCCCCCCAAAACAAAGAUGAUAUAAAGAAUAUAAAAAUUCUGAUUGGACAACGCGCUCACAUUGAGGAUGCAUGGAAAAAGCAAGACAUUUUACAGUGUCGGCGCUGCCAGCAAUUUGGUCGCACAACACAUUCAGCCCAAGUUUCCAUGUCCUUCUUUCAUCCUAUUCCAAUAACGCAAAAACUAAUUUGUUAAUCUGAAGCUUUGGAUUUAGGAGUCAUUUUCGAAUCUAAGUUCUUAUUAAUUUACCAUAUAAACAUAUUAUGCAUAAGG